GUGGGGAAUCUUGCACAAUGGGGGAAACCCUGAUGCAGCGACGCCGCGUGAGCGAUGAAGCCCUUCGGGGUGUAAAGCUCUUUCGGCAGGAACGAUUAUGACGGUACCUGUAGAAGAAGCUGCGGCUAACUACGUGCCAGCAGCCGCGGUAAUACGUAGGCAGCAAGCGUUGUUCGGAAUUACUGGGCGUAAAGAGUGUGUAGGCGGUUGUCUAAGUUUGGUGUGAAAUCUCCCGGCUCAACUGGGAGGGUGCGCCGAAAACUGGAUAGCUUGAGUAUGGGAGAGGGAAGCGGAAUUCCUGGUGUAGCGGUGAAAUGCGUAGAUAUCAGGAGGAACACCUGCGGUGUAGACGGCUUCCUGGACCAUCACUGACGCUGAGACACGAAAGCGUGGGUAGCAAACAGGAUUAGAAACCCGUGUAGUCC
rnacentral:rRNA from 1 species